rnacentral:misc_RNA from 1 species
GAAAUGCGAUAAGUAAUGUGAAUUGCAGAAUUCAGUGAAUCAUCGAAUCUUUGAACGCACCUUGCGCUCCUUGGUAUUCCUUGGAGCAUGCCUGUUUGAGUAUCAUGAAAUCUUCAAAGUAAAUCUUUUGUUAACUCAAUUGGUUUCUACUUUGGUAUUGGAGGUCUUUGCAGCUUCACACCUGCUCCUCUUUGUUCAUUAGCUGGAUCUCAGUGUUAUGCUUGGUUCCACUCGGCGUGAUAAGUUAUCUAUCGCUGAGGACACUGUAAAAGGUGGCCAAGGUAAAUGCAGAUGAACCGCUUCUAAUAGUCCAUUGACUUGGACAAUACUUUUAUGAUCUGAUCUCAAAUCAGGUAUGACUACCCGCUGAACUUCAGC